CUCGCUCCUCUUGCUCCUUCAUUUCUACCUUUGCACGCAUGCACACUUGGCGUACAUGCACGCACAAAUACGCACACCGUGACUGAUGCCUUCUCCAUUUUUCUCUGGCAUUCUUCUUCCACUCCACGGCUGAGACUUUUCUCCCUUCAGUGUGUUUGUCCUCUGUAGCGUACGGUGGAACCGGUUCUGCACCGCUCCAGCUCGCGCUAUCCCAGUCACAAAAUCCUCACAGCGUGGAGUGUCGAAGAAAGGAGAGAGGUGGCAUCUGAGAGAGGAAAUGUGACGACCAGAGAAGCUAGAGUGAAGUCGAGAUGCAAGACUACAAGUCGAGAAGUAAAAAGGAAAAAGGGAGGCGGGAAGGAGAUCCAACUUGGCAAGAAAUACUGGAAGAGUGCACCUCCCCUCUUAACCUGAAGGCCACCUUCACGUUUUGUCCAAAAUGAUCUCAAGGUAAUAACAUAUCCAUAUUGGAUAAUAUUCUGCAUGAUUCAGU